CAGUCGCCGCGGGAAUACGAAGGGGGCUAGCGUUGCUCGGAAUGACUGGGCGUAAAGGGCGCGUAGGCGGCGAUCAAAGUCAGGCGUGAAAUUCCUGGGCUCAACCUGGGGGCUGCGUUUGAUACUUGAUUGCUAGAGUGGGGAAGAGGGUCGUGGAAUUCCCAGUGUAGAGGUGAAAUUCGUAGAUAUUGGGAAGAACACCGGUGGCGAAGGCGGCGACCUGGUCCUUGACUGACGCUGAGGCGCGAAAGCGUGGGGAGCAAACAGGAUUAGAGACCCCGGUAGUCCCUGUCUCUUAUAC
rnacentral:rRNA from 1 species